UCUCAGAUAGUAUAGUGGUAAGUAUCCCCGCCUGUCACGCGGGAGACCCGGGUUCAAUUCCCGGUCUGAGAG
rfam:Basidiobolus meristosporus CBS 931.73 K493scaffold_1175, whole genome shotgun sequence.